rnacentral:rRNA from 1 species
UACAGAGGAUGCAAGCGUUAUCCGGAAUGAUUGGGCGUAAAGCGUCUGUAGGUGGCUUUUUAAGUCCGCCGUCAAAUCCCAGGGCUCAACUCUGGACAGGCGGUGGAAACUACCAAGCUGGAGUACGGUAGGGGCAGAGGGAAUUUCCGGUGGAGCGGUGAAAUGCGUAGAUAUUGGGAGGAACACCAAUAGCGAAGGCAGCUCGCUGGGACGGUAUUGACGCUAAGGCGCGAAAGCGUGGGGAGCAAACAGG